GAUGAACGCUGGCGGCGUGCCUAACACAUGCAAGUCGAACGCUCGCAAGAGAGUGGCGCACGGGUGAGUAACACGUAGCUAAUCUGCCCUCAAGACAAGGAUAACUGUAGGAAACUACUGCUAAUACUUGAUAAGCUUACGGACUGUAGAGGUCUAUAAGAAAAGAUUUAUCGCUUGAGGAUGAGGCUGCGCGCCAUCAGCUAGUUGGUGAGGUAAUGGCUCACCAAGGCGACGACGGCUAGGGGGACCUGAGAGGGUGACCCCCCCACACUGGGACUGAGACACGGCCCAGACUCCUACGGGAGGCAGCAGUGAGGAAUAUUGCACAAUGGGCGCAAGCCUGAUGCAGCGACGCCGCGUGGAUGAAGAAGGUUUUCGGACUGUAAAAUCCUUUCUGUGUGACGAGAGUGGACGGUAGCACAGGAAUAAGUCUCGGCUAACUACGUGCCAGCAGCCGCGGUAAU
rnacentral:rRNA from 1 species